rnacentral:rRNA from 1 species
GACGACGCUGGCGGCGUGCCUAUACAUGCAAGUAGAACGCUGAAGGAGGAGCUUGCUCUUCUGGAUGAGUUGCGAACGGGUGAGUACGCGUAGGCAACCUGCCUGGUAGCGGGGGAUAACUAUUGGAAACGAUAGCUAAUACCGCAUAAGAGUAGAUGUUGCAUGACAUUUGCUUAAAAGGUGCAAUUGCAUCACUACCAGAUGGACCUGCGUUGUAUUAGCUAGUUGGUGAGGUAACGGCUCACCAAGGCAACGAUACAUAGCCGACCUGAGAGGGUGAUCGGCCACACUGGGACUGAGACACGGCCCAGACUCCUACGGGAGGCAGCAGUAGGGAAUCUUCGGCAAUGGACGGAAGUCUGACCGAGCAACGCCGCGUGAGUGAAGAAGGUUUUCGGAUCGUUAAAGCUCUGUUGUAAGAGAAGACAGCAGUGUGUGAGUGGAAAUGUCACACUUAGGACUUGUGAUCUCUCACA